rnacentral:tRNA from 1 species
UCCCUGGUGGCUCAGACGGUAAAGCGUCUGCCUGCAAUGCAGGAGACCUGGGUUCGAUUCCUGGUCAGGAAG